GACGAACGCUGGCGGCGUGCUUAACACAUGCAAGUCGAACGGAAAGGCCCUGCUUUUGUGGGGUGCUCGAGUGGCGAACGGGUGAGUAACACGUGAGUAACCUGCCCUUGACUUUGGGAUAACUUCAGGAAACUGGGGCUAAUACCGGAUAGGAGCUCCUGCUGCAUGGUGGGGGUUGGAAAGUUUCGGCGGUUGGGGAUGGACUCGCGGCUUAUCAGCUUGUUGGUGGGGUAGUGGCUUACCAAGGCUUUGACGGGUAGCCGGCCUGAGAGGGUGACCGGCCACAUUGGGACUGAGAUACGGACCAGACUCCUACGGGAGGCAGCAGUGGGGAAUAUUGCACAAUGGGCGGAAGCCUGAUGCAGCAACGCCGCGUGCGGGAUGACGGCCUUCGGGUUGUAAACCGCUUUAGCCUGUGACGAAGCGUGAGUGACGGUAAUGGGUAAAGAAGCACCGGCUAACUACGUG
rnacentral:rRNA from 1 species